rnacentral:rRNA from 1 species
UACAGGGGGGGCAAGCGUUGUUCGGAAUUACUGGGCGUAAAGGGUUCGUAGGUGGCUUACUAAGUCAGACGUGAAAUCCCUCAGCUUAACUGGGGAACUGCGUCUGAUACUGGAAAGCUUGAGUGCAGGAGAGGAACGCGGAAUUCCAGGUGUAGCGGUGAAAUGCGUAGAUAUCUGGAGGAACACCGGUGGCGAAGGCGGCAUCCUGGACCAACACUGACACUGAGGAGCGAAAGCCAGGGGAGCAAACGGG